AUUGAACGCUGGCGGCAUGCUUUACACAUGCAAGUCGAACGGUAACAGGCCGCAAGGUGCUGACGAGUGGCGAACGGGUGAGUAAUGCAUCGGAACGUGCCCAGUCGUGGGGGGUAACUACUCGAAAGAGUAGCUAAUACCGCAUACGAUCUAUGGAUGAAAGCGGGGGACCGUAGGGCCUCGCGCGAUUGGAGCGGCCGAUGUCAGAUUAGGUAGUUGGUGGGGUAAAGGCUCACCAAGCCAACGAUCUGUAGCUGGUCUGAGAGGACGACCAGCCACACUGGGACUGAGACACGGCCCAGACUCCUACGGGAGGCAGCAGUGGGGAAUUUUGGACAAUGGGCGCAAGCCUGAUCCAGCAAUGCCGCGUGCAGGAAGAAGGCCUUCGGGUUGUAAACUGCUUUUGUACGGAACGAAACGGCUCUGGUUAAUACCCGGGGCUAAUGACGGUACCGUAAGAAUAAGCACCGGCUAACUGCGUG
rnacentral:rRNA from 1 species